GUUCUUUCUUAGUUUCAUUUGGAGUUGUUUCCUUAAUCAGGAGAUGGAAUUUGCUCAUUCUCUUAGGCAGAGUAAAGUUAACAUCAAGAUAUGUCAGUAUUCCUAUGAUCUUCUGUUGCAAUAUUUGCAUAAAACGCAAUCCACUGCAAUGCUUAGGGUCAUCAAUGAACACAUUAACUUUCAAG